rnacentral:rRNA from 1 species
GACGAACGCUGGCGGCGUGCUUAACACAUGCAAGUCGAACGGAGUGGCGAACGGGUGAGUAACACGUGGGUGAUCUGCCUUGCACUUCGGGAUAAGCUUGGGAAACUGGGUCUAAUACCGGAUAGUGCAAGAUGAGCUCGCGGCCUAUCAGCUUGUUGGUGGGGUAAUGGCCUACCAAGGCGUCGACGGGUAGCAGGCCUGAGAGGGUGUACGGGCACAAUGGUACUGAGAGACGGCGCAGACGCCUACGGGAGGCAGCGGUGGAGAAUAUGGCACAAUGGCCGCACGCCUGAUGCAGCGACGCCGGGUGGGGGAUGAAGGCCUUCGGGUUGUAAACGCCUUUCGACAGGGACGCGGUACCUGUAUAAGAAGCACCGGCUAACUACGUGCCAGCCGCCGCGGUAAUAC